AGCAGUAGCCGCGGUAAUACGAAGGGGGCUAGCGUUGUUCGGAAUUACUGGGCGUAAAGCGCACGCAGGCGGCUCGAUAAAUUAGAAGUGAAAGCCUUGGGCUUAACCUGAGAAUUGCUUUUAAGACUGUCGAGCUAGAAUCCAGAAGAGGGUAGUGGAAUUCCGAGUGUAGAGGUGAAAUUCGUAGAUAUUCGGAAGAACACCAGUGGCGAAGGCGACUACCUGGUCUGGCAUUGACGCUCAUGUGCGAAAGCGUGGGGAGCAAACAGGAUUAGAUACCCCCGUAGUCCCUGUCUCUUAUAC
rnacentral:rRNA from 1 species